rnacentral:rRNA from 1 species
UACGUAGGGGGCUAGCGUUGUCCGGAUUUAUUGGGCGUAAAGAGCGUGUAGGCGGCCAGGUAGGUCUGCUGUGAAAACUCGGAGGCUUAACCUCGAGAUGUCGGCGGAAACCAUCUGGCUAGAGUCCGGAAGAGGAGAGUGGAAUUCCUGGUGUAGCGGUGAAAUGCGCAGAUAUCAGGAAGAACACCCGUGGCGAAGGCGGCUCUCUGGGACGGUACUGACGCUGAGACGCGAAAGCGUGGGGAGCGAACAGG